rnacentral:rRNA from 1 species
CGUAAGCAAUCUAUCCCUUUGCGGGGGACAACGAGGGGAAACCUUCGCUAAUACCGCAUGGACAAGAGAUCCGAUGGGUCUUUUGGGAAACGUGGCCUCUUUACAAUGCUACGGCGAGGGGAGGAGCUUGCGGGCUAUCAGCUAGUUGGUGAGGUAAUGGCUCACCAAGGCAGCGACGGCUACGGGGUCUGAGAGGACGACCCCGCACAUUGGAACUGAGACACGGUCCAG